GGGGGGCUGCGGCCGCGGCAGCUGCUCGCUUAUUUUUAGAGCAUUUCCAUUCCUCCGGUUAAUUUUAGAUCGAUUCAUUAUUUAGCCCCAGUUCGCCUUCAGGGAAACCCAAGCUGGGGGGGAGGCCGGAGCCCCGCGGGACUGUGCGGGGCUGCCCCCAGCCGGGGCGCUGCGGGACUCGGUGGGUGCGGGCAGCCCUGUCCCCAGGGAGGGGGAGACCCAGCCUCUGGGAUGGGGUUUGGAUGGUGGGCAUGGACACGGAGAGAGGGGCCAGAAGGAGCACCACUCAGAACAUUUCCAGUCGGACUCCUUCCUGCCAUCCCCCACAAAGCCCGUUGGUGUGACCAUUACAGUACUCACUAAAUUCAAUUUAG
rnacentral:lncRNA from 1 species